rnacentral:rRNA from 1 species
GGUUUGCUAACCCGCAAGGGAGGCGACUGCCGACGGUAAGCCCGACGACUGGCACUAAGUCGUAACAAGGUAGCCGUAGGGGAACCUGCGGCUGGAUCACCUCCUUUCUAGGGA